rnacentral:rRNA from 1 species
GAUGAACGCUGGCGGCGUGCCUAAUACAUGCAAGUCGAGCGAACGGACGAGAAGCUUGCUUCUCUGAUGUUAGCGGCGGACGGGUGAGUAACACGUGGAUAACCUACCUAUAAGACUGGGAUAACUUCGGGAAACCGGAGCUAAUACCGGAUAAUAUUUUGAACCGCAUGGUUCAAAAGUGAAAGACGGUCUUGCUGUCACUUAUAGAUGGAUACGCGCUGCAUUAGCUAGUUGGUAAGGUAACGGCUUACCAAGGCAACGAUGCAUAGCCGACCUGAGAGGGUGAUCGGCCACACUGGAACUGAGACACGGUCCAGACUCCUACGGGAGGCAGCAGUAGGGAAUCUUCCGCAAAGGGCGAAAGCCUGACGGAGCAACGCCGCGUGAGUGAUGAAGGUCUUCGGAUCGUAAAACUCUGUUAUUAGGGAAGAACAUAUGUGUAAGUAACUGUGCACAUCUUGACGGUACCUAAUCAGAAAGCCACAGCUAACUACGUG